rnacentral:rRNA from 1 species
UACGGAGGGUGCAAGCGUUGUUCGGAAUCACUGAGCGUAAAGGGCGUGUAGGCGGUCCGCUAAGUCUGAUGUGAAAGCCCGGGGCUCACCCCCGGAAGGGCAUUGGAAACUGGCGGACUCGAGUCCCGGAGAGGAAGGUGGAAUUCCUGGUGUAGCGGUGAAAUGCGUAGAUAUCAGGAGGAAUAACGGUGGCGAAGGCGGCCUUCUGGAAGGUGACUGACGCUGAGACGCGAAAGCGUGGGGAGCAAACAGG